CGCGGUACCCUGACCGUGCAAAGGUAGCAUAAUCACUUGUUCUCUAAAUAAGGACUUGUAUGAAUGGCCACACGAGGGUUUAACUGUCUCUUACUUCUAAUCAGUGAAAUUGACCUAUCCGUGAAGAGGCGGAUAUAACCAAAUAAGACGAGAAGACCCUAUGGAGCUUCAAUUUAAUAAUGCAAACUAAUAACUUAAAAACCAACAGGCACCAAUCCACCGUGUAUGUAUUAUAAACUUUGGUUGGGGUGACCUCGGAGCAUAACAUAACCUCCGAAAGACAUAUACCAAGACUUAACCAGUCUAAGUAAACUUAUAACCAUUGACCCAAUAACUUGAUCAACGGACUAAGUUACCCUAGGGAUAACAGCGCAAUCCUACUCUAGAGUCCAUAUCGACAGUAGGGUUUACGACCUCGAUGUUGGAUCAAG
rnacentral:rRNA from 1 species